rnacentral:ncRNA from 2 species
AGGCGACCAAAAACCGAAGCUUUCUUUGCUACGUCAGGGCUUAGCCCGAUAUGUAAAGUUGGCCGUGAUCUCGCGAUCACCAGGGCGGGCAAUAGAAAUGUUCCCGUCUCCCGAACUUGGAAAGGUGAUUAGUUGCAAUGCA